CUGGCUCCUGUGUUCCAGCCAUGCUGGAGGCAGGAGGGUCCCCUCGUGGAGCGGACCCUGACUCUCAUCACUCCCGCUCCCAAAAUCCAGACAAGGAAGCCAAGUAGAUGUGAAUUCGCUGCAGUCGUCUGUGGCUACCAUGGGAUAUGUGAAGCCCCACCGAGCCUGGCGGAGGGGUUUGGAGGUCUCCUUUCUCCAUUCGCAGGGCCUGAGCACCCCCUAGAUGUCAGGCCCCUGGGCUCUGGGUAUGUGUGGGCUGAACUUGAACCUGAUGGAUCGGUCCCUGAGAGAGAACUAGAGCCUCGCAUCUUGGGCCCUGCCUGGUCAGUGCACCACACGUGAGGCCGCAUGCUCCCUGCCAGGGUCACAGGGAGGGAGAAGUUGCUGCCCUGAGUUCUGCCCCCAUGUCUGUCAGCCCCGCCUGAUGUCACAGGGACAGCCCCAGGGCCUCCUCCUCUGCCACCGUACCUGGCACAGGCCAGUGCCCUGUAUCCCAGCCCUCAAACUACCUCGCUUCCUUUCACCCCCAUAACGCCCAUCACAUAGGGCAAGACUCGGGUAAAGAUUGGCAGCCUGGAGAAGAUAAGGUGGGCCACUGAGUAAGGUGAACAUUUCUGAAAACAGAGGCUAAAAUCCUUGCUAUCACCAAAGAGGACCAGGCCAGAGGAAAUGCAGCAAGAGGGAUCAAGGUUAGACUUAAGGAGGAACUGACUCAAGGGGCAGAUUAAUUUCUGGCCAUGCAAUUGUUGUAAAGCUUAAAUGACGUACUAGAUGAAAAUGUCCUGACAUGUAAUCAACAUUCAAUAAAUGAUCUGAAGGAGGGAACAGAUGGCUCUGAACCCAGGGAAGACCCUCUCCUAACCAUGAGAGUCAGGACUUUGCAGGGGAUGAGGAGUCGGAAGGACAAUUCCCAGAAGAGCUGUUUCUCCCACACUCAGGCUGCUGCUUCCCCACCCCAGCCCUCCUGCACCACGCCUGCACUGGGCGCAGGGCCCAGCCACCCUGGGACACCCUGCCUUUGUCCUCUCUGCCGCAGGUGGGCAAACAGAAGGGUUUGGGGGCUGAGAAUCCUGUUCUUCUCCCCUUCCCCCUGUCUAUGCACAGGACAGCUUGAGAGGAAACGGUCCCAGCCUGCAGGGAAUCGAGGUCAGAUAGGAAUCAAGGUUAGACAGGAAGGAAACCUCCCAGUGCCCGAAGUGGGGCCGCUCCACGGUGGGCUUUUUACAUCUUUAACCUCAAUGGUGUGUCAGCUAGUGUUGUCCUGAGGGGCAGGGGACCGGCUGACACGACCUUUAAGAUGACCUAGAGAGGAGUUCCUGUCGUGGCUCAGUGGUUAACAGACCCAACUAGGAACCUUGAGGAUGCGGGUUGGAUCCAGGGCCUUGCUCAGUGGGUUAAGGAUCAGGCACUGCCGUGAGCUAUGGUGUAGGUCGCAGAUGCUGCUCAGAUCCCGCAUUGCUGUGGCUGUGGCUGUAGCCCCGCUUAGACCCCUAGCCUGGGAACCUCCACAUGCCAAGGGUGCUGUCCUAAAAAGACAAAACAAAACAAAAACAAAAAAAAGGACAUGACCUAGGGAGCUUGGUAGAUCCAGUUUAAUCUCUGGUGGCUGUGCUGGUUGGCACAGUGCAGUGGGCUCUUGAUGGAGAGGAGUUCAGAGCUACCAGGGAAGAGCAGGGGAAAGGGAGGUUGGUCUUUGAGCCCCCACGGCAGAGGUCAGGAGCAGUGUAGAGAGCAAGCACUGGGCUGGUGUCACGUUGCCUGCUUCCCCUACUGCUGUGUGACUGUGGCCAAGUUAAUUGCCCUCUCUGGUCUUCUGUGUCCUUGGUCUGAGUAGAGAAUCUCUAAGGUCCCUUUCAGCCAUCACAGGUUCUACCCACCUCCUCUGUCCUGAGCUGAUACAUGCCUUGCCACAAAGAGGGAGGAAAGAAUACUUCCCAGCUCCAUUCAAACCAGGAUGAAUGGAGAUUUGGCCCAAGAGAAUAUUGGUGCUUACCUGUGCCUGCCCGCCCCUGACAAACAGUCCCUCCUGCUCCAAAGGCACACUUUGCCUAAAUCUGUCCUCUCAGCCCAGAGGAUGGGUAAAGGAGUGUCUCUAGGAUUCAGCUACUGUCAAUUUUCUUCCCACUCCAGAAAGAAAAGGCUUUGCCACACUCCGUUCCAGCCAGGGACUGUAUGCCAGUCCAUAUUUUCUCCUGUGGAAGCGCUUUCUUCCAGCUGGUGGCUCUUCUCCCCCACAACCUCUUCCUGGUUCUCUGUAGCCUCAGCCACCUGGCCCAGUUGCCUGCAGAUCCCGGAAUGGAUUUGCAUUAAGAUUGGGGAGGAGGAGUUCCCGUCGUGGCGCAGUGGUUAACGAAUCCGACUAGGAACCAUGAGGUUUCGGGUUCGGUCCCUGCCCUUGUUCGUGGGUUAACCAAUCCGGCGUCGCCGUGAGCUGUGGUGUAGGUUGCAGACGCGGCUCGGAUCCCGCAUUGCUGUGGCUCUGGCGUAGGCCAGCAGCUGCAGCUCCGAUAGGACCC
rnacentral:lncRNA from 1 species